rnacentral:rRNA from 1 species
UACGGAGGGUGCGAGCGUUAAUCGGAAUUACUGGGCGUAAAGCGCACGUAGGCGGUUCGUUAAGUCGGAUGUGAAAUCCCUGGGCUCAACCUGGGAACGGCAUUUGAAACUGGCGGACUAGAGUUGAGUAGAGGGGAGUGGAAUUUCAGGUGUAGCGGUGAAAUGCGUAGAUAUCUGAAGGAACACCAGUGGCGAAGGCGACUCCCUGGACUCAAACUGACGCUGAGGUACGAAAGCGUGGGUAGCAAACAGGAUUAGAUACCCCUGUAGU